GGGGGGCCCAUCCCCUCUCGGGGCGCGCGCCCCGUCGCCCCCGCGCAUGCGCGCGCCAUUUCCGACCCUCGCGAGGCUUGGUUGUUGACGAGCUCGCGCGAAAAGACGCUGUGGGGUCGCGAGGGCCCCGGGCUGCGUGGACGUUCCGGCGGCUGGGCGGGAGGUCGGUGUUGUCCGUUUCUGCGCUACUGGCUUUUCUGUUCCCGAUUAUCUGACGUGUUUUGUCCCGUCUUCCGCUCCUCCUGGACUCAGGUUGUAACCACAAUCGCCCGACUCCCUAGCUUUCUCAUCUCCUCCUUGUCUAGCCCCCUUGGGGUCCCAAUCGUAUUCCAGCCGUUCAUAUAUUCUUUAAAUGGUCAGCGGAGAAGCCUGCAAAAGAGAAAUAAGCUACUGUGUUAAAAAGCUGAUUUGUCGUAGUCGGCAGGAUUCGAACCUGCGCGGGGAGACCCCAAUGGAUUUCUAGUCCAUCGCCUUAACCACUCGGCCACGACUACUACUGGUGGUGGUUUUGGCAGUGAGAUCUAUGUAGAGCCUGCACACAAGUGUCUACUCUAGUAACAGGUUUUCAUCACGAGGAAAACACUACGGAGCUGUUCUGUCAGAUUAAGCGCACAUUUGAAUGUUGUAGCUCUUAAUAAUUUUAUCUUCUCAGAGGGGAUCUUGAGAGUAUCGCCAAUGAGAGAAAAACUGAAUUUUAGUAAAAUCGCUAGUUAGUCAGAAAACAAGAGAGAGGGAAAAAAGGUUGGUGCUGCUGUAGACUGGCUUGCAGAGUUGUGCGUUUUCCCGGAGCUAACUGGGAAUCUUAGGGCCCCGGAUCAGCCUCCCGGCCUCCUUGCGUGAUCAGCUCCACUCCCCCGCCGCCUUCUAAGCACAAACAGUUCCAGGACUCUUUUUCCCCACUACGCACUAAAAUAGUGUUCCCCACUGAUAUAAAUUGACUAUGCAGGGCUAGAAUGUCCCACAGUGUCUUAAAGACACUGCUCGGAAAAGUACGAUGUGUAAUACACCUGCAAGGUAUGGUCUCUCCUGUAAAUACUAUGUAUGCACAAUGAAACCUGAACUUUUUAGUAUUUCUGAAGGAGAAUUGCAAAGAGGUUGGCAGCCUUGGAAACUCUGGAGAUACUUUUAUCGAAAUGAAUUAGUAGCUUCAUUUACUUGGUUUUUUUGUUGUCUGUUCAUAAUAUCUAUUAAAGAACUCGCGGGAAAAGACACGGUGGGGUUAGAGAUAUUAAAGAUAUUCUGAACAGACAACAUAUGAUGGAGCAAAUGUAGAGCCAACCUUUAAAUAUUCAUGACUUUUGAGAGCCAGUUGUUAAAUGCAACCACUAUUAAAAAAUUAAAUUAUGAAAAAAAAUUAAAUUAUGUAAACUUAGUUAAAUUAACUAUAUUGAAAAACAAAAGCAGUAGUCAAAAUUCACCAAGGUCUGGUUAUUACCCUACAUUUUAUUGUAAUUUAUGUUUGAGAUUAUUUACAUCUGUUGUAUCUGAAAUAGUAAACAGUGGGCCAUUGUUAUGAAUCUCUUCAUAACUUCCCAUUCAGUGAUGUCACUUGGGUAGCUUGAAAUUAGGCUUCCUGGGUGUAUUUACACCAGGGAAAUUGCAAAUGGUACAAGAUAUUUUUCUCGCUAGAGCUAGUUGUCAGACGCUUAUCAUCAUGUCACUAAUAUUUACCACCAGGCAAAUCUUGAAUAUUCCCAGCAAGGCAACAUUCCCCUUACCUGUCAGGCUUCCCUGGUUGUUAUUUUAACUAUCAGAAUCUUGUCGUAUAGUAUGACGUCCCACUCAGUAUACUGAUAUUUUGUUUUGUUUUUCCCCAACUUGCCUUGCUGGGUGAUUUCUACUCAGAACUGACCUCCAGCAGAAAGACAGGAAUAAGCCACUUGAUACUGAAAUUACCCUUGCAAUAUGGUUCCUGGGGGAGUUGCCAUACAGUUUCAUACACUUAAGUUAAUAAUUUGAUUUUUCUUUAGAAAAGAUGAAAUCUGAGGUAUACCAUCAGUAGUUGAAAGACUUAGCAUGUAGAUUUGCAUGAAGGACUAUGAAAGAUAAAAGAGGAAGUGUUUCUAAUUUUGUGUUUUGUUUAUAUGAAUAUUAGAAAAAUGAAGCUUCUUUCCUUCUUCCUCUACUCCCACCCCCAUUUUGGUGUGUAGAUAUCAUGUGUAGAUCAUCCAGAGGUAGGUGUUUUGAGAAUUUGUCUUACAGCUCAUCAACUCUUUGGAACUUCUGACUUCAGUUGUGUUGUCUUUCUGGCUUUAGAGAAAGUCAAGUUCAAUGUCUACAGUGAGAAAUGCCAUAUACACAUAUGUGGAUGGCUGUGUGAUAAACUGGAAAAUGAAAGCACACUAUUAAAAAUCUCCAGGGAGUUCCCUGGUGGCCUAGUGGUUAACAUUCCAGACUUCACUGUGGUGGCCCAAGUUCAAGCCCUGGUGGAGGAACUGAAAUCCUGCAGCGCGGCCAAAAAAAAAAAAGAGAAAAACUCAGGAUGUCAGGAGCAAUACCUGGUGCACUGCAGUGGACUCAAGCAAUGGAGUAGGCUGUACAUGGUGAAAAGCUUUCUCAAGUGGAUGCCAUUUUCCUGUAAGGAGGCUUAAGAAGGGGAGCAAAGAAGCAAAUCAUCCACAUAUUGCAACAAAAGAAGGAAGCUCUCAGGGACUUUAUAUCAACCAGAUCAGCCUUCAGGAUUUGCAAGAAAUAAAGACUUCGUAAAAGCCUGAGGCAUUACUGUCCAGGUGAAUUCUUCUCCUUCCCAAGUGAAGGCAAAAAGGACAGGAGGUCCUGGUAAGGAACAGGGAACUAAUAAGCCACCACCAACUGGAAGAGUGUGGGAAAGGUCAAAAGGAGAUGCCACGUGUUCUUCUACCUCCCAGCAUCCUUCUCGUUGGCAUCCAUCUUGCCUGAGCAAUGCAUGCACGACCAGGAAGGACCCUGAGUCAGAAUGAUUGACCAAAGACAACCUGGAAACUAAUCCCAUCACCAUAAAACCUGAGACUUUGAGCCACAUGGGUUUCCUUACCCUCUAGCUCUCUGCCUGGACACUCCUUCCCAAUAAAGUCUUUUACUUUG